rnacentral:rRNA from 1 species
UAAUACGGAGGGUACAAGCGUUAAUCGGAAUUACUGGGCGUAAAGCGUGCGUAGGCGGUUUAUUAAGUCAGAUGUGAAAGCCCCGGGCUUAACCUGGGAACUGCAUUUGAAACUGGUCAACUAGAGUAUGGUAGAGGAAAGUGGAAUUUCUGGUGUAGCGGUGAAAUGCGUAGAUAUCAGAAGGAACAUCAAUGGCGAAGGCAGCUUUCUGGACCAAUACUGACGCUGAGGUACGAAAGCGUGGGUAGCAAACAGGAUUAGAUACCCUGGCAGUCCACGCCGUAAACGAUGAUAACUAGCCGUUGGGGGGAUUUACCCCUUAGUGGCGAAGCUAACGCGUUAAGUUAUCCGCCUGGGGAGUACGGCCGCAAGGCUA